rnacentral:rRNA from 1 species
GACGAACGCUGGCGGCGUGCCUAAUACAUGCAAGUAGAACGCUGAAGGAGGAGCUUGCUUCUCUGGAUGAGUUGCGAACGGGUGAGUAACGCGUAGGUAACCUGCCUGGUAGCGGGGGAUAACUAUUGGAAACGAUAGCUAAUACCGCAUAACAGUAGAUGUUGCAUGACAUUUGCUUAAAAGGUGCAAUUGCAUCACUACCAGAUGGACCUGCGUUGUAUUAGCUAGUUGGUGGGGUAACGGCUCACCAAGGCGACGAUACAUAGCCGACCUGAGAGGGUGAUCGGCCACACUGGGACUGAGACACGGCCCAGACUCCUACGGGAGGCAGCAGUAGGGAAUCUUCGGCAAUGGACGGAAGUCUGACCGAGCAACGCCGCGUGAGUGAAGAAGGUUUUCGGAUCGUAAAGCUCUGUUGUAAGAGAAGAACGAGUGUGAGAGUGGAAGGUUCACACUGUGACGGUAUCUUACCAGAAAGGGACGGCUAACUACGUGCCAGCAGCCGCGGUAAUACGUAGGUCCCGAGCGUUGUCCGGAUUUAUUGGGCGUAAAGCGAGCGCAGGCGGUUAGAUAAGUCUGAAGUUAAAGGCUGUGGCUUAACCAUAGUACGCUUUGGAAACUGUUUAACUUGAGUGCAAGAGGGGAGAGUGGAAUUCCAUGUGUAGCGGUGAAAUGCGUAGAUAUAUGGAGGAACACCGGUGGCGAAAGCGGCUCUCUGGCUUGUAACUGACGCUGAGGCUCGAAAGCGUGGGGAGCAAACAGGAUUAGAUACCCUGGUAGUCCACGCCGUAAACGAUGAGUGCUAGGUGUUAGACCCUUUCCGGGGUUUAGUGCCGUAGCUAACGCAUUAAGCACUCCGCCUGGGGAGUACGACCGCAAGGUUGAAACUCAAAGGAAUUGACGGGGGCCCGCACAAGCGGUGGAGCGUGUGGUUUAAUUCGAAGCAACGCGAAGAACCUUACCAGGUCUUGACAUCCCUCUGACCGCUCUGGAGAUAGAGCUUUCCUUCGGGACAGAGGUGACAGGUAGUGCAUGGUUGUCGUCAGCUCGUGUCGUGAGAUGUUGGGUUAAGUCCCGCAACGAGCGCAACCCCUAUUGUUAGUUGCCAUCAUUCAGUUGGGCACUCUAGCGAGGCUGCCGGUAAUAAACCGGAGGAAGGUGGGGAUGACGUCAAAUCAUCAUGCCCCUUAUGACCUGGGCUACACACGUGCUACAAUGGCUGGUACAACGAGUCGCAAGCCGGUGACGGCGAGCUAAUCUCUUAAAGCCAGUCUCAGUUCGGAUUGUAGGCUGCAACUCGCCUACAUGAAGUCGGAAUCGCUAGUAAUCGCGGAUCAGCACGCCGCGGUGAAUACGUUCCCGGGCCU